AUAUAUGUAACGGAGUGAUAUAUUGCGUUUAUUAAAUUAUGACAGAAGUGACGCAACAGCGCACAGUAUGGCACCAGCUUUCCGCCGUAGUUCAGGCAGAGCUACCAAGGAAGUCACAGGUUAUUUUUGAGACUGAAAAGCCCCGUGACUUCACCUAUCCCUCCCGCCAUUGCAGGUAAUGUUUGUUUCCUUUUGGUUGAACUGUAUAUAGUUUUUCGUGUCGUUUUUCAUUUGGCUGUUAGUGUGGCUGGCGUGUUCCCGCGGUUUGUCGCGGCCGCCAUUAUUGUACAUUGCGCAGCUGUUCUGCUGCAUGUGAUGCGUUCAGCGGCAUCACGUAUGUGCGUUUUUUUUCCCUUUUUUUGUAAAUAGUUAAUAUACGAUCACCUAUGUUGUGUAUUUUGUUUUGUUGUGCAUUUUGUCUUGUUAUGGAUGAUGUAUUGUUCGGCAGAGCUACCAAGGAAGUCACAGGUUAUUUUUGAGACCGAAAAGCCCCGUGACUUCACCUAUCCCUCCCGCCAUACUGUGUUGCAGUAAUAAAAAAAGAGAGAAAAGCCA